rnacentral:lncRNA from 1 species
AAAGCCCUUUACGCAAAGCGGCCGCUGCACAAACGCGAGAGCGGAGCCACUCCAACCCCCACCACUUCCCUCCCCAAAAAGCACGCCAGGAAGAAACACGAAGCCCACAGCAGAACAGGUCGCCUCCAGCCAGCAUCGGGGGUCGCCCGGGAGAGAAAGGGCGAGCGGAGGCGCGCACGAAGAGGGAGGCGACCAAACGAAGCAGCGGCGCGAACAAAGCGCAGGUCCGCCCCGGAGCCCCGGCUGGGCGGCGGAGCGGCAGCACCGCACCUUUGUCCGGGAAGGCGCCGCCCCAUCAGACCCCCCUCCCCGCGGGCUGCCAGGGGCUCGGCAGCAACGGCCGCCGCAGGACACGGGCUGGGAGGGACGGAGACACCGCCCAGCCCUCCCGCGCCUGCCGCGGACAGCGGCGGCUGGGCUAGCGCGAGAGGCUCCGCGUGGGGCGGGCGCCACCGCCGCUCUCCCCGGCUAGGAGCGGGGCAGGGAGCCGCCCUCCCCCCGCCGCCCUCGCUCCCAGCCCGGCAGAGCCGCCGCCGCCCCCUUCCCUCCACCUGCCCCUCGAGAGCCCCCUACUCCCUCCCACGGGCUGCGGGCUUCGCCCCCGGCGCGUCCCAGCGCCCCACCUGCGCAGCAGAGCAGCACAAGAGCCAGGAGUCGGGGCUCCAUGGCGCGGGCACCGCCAACGACACCAACGGCGCUUCCUCGCCGCGACUCGCCGACGGGCGCUUCAACCUGCCCCGCCCCACGCGCACCGCCCAGCAGGUGAAUCACCCGUCACUUCCGGCCGGCACUGGCCCCCCGCCAAGGCAGAGCGGGGCAGGCACCAGCYGCGCGCCACGCCCCGCGCGCCCCCUUCCCCCCGGCUCCAACGGCCGCUCCGUGACGCGCCCCCGCCGCCCCAACGGCUCCCGCGGCAGAGCUGCCCGCGUGGGCGGGCGGGGACGGCUGCUCACGCAAAGCGCCUGGGCAGGGGCGAGCCGCCCUGCCCUGGGGUCCCCGGGCGACCGGCAGCGCACACGCACACACGCCGGCCUUGCCCGCCCCUCGAAGGGGAGGGGGGCACCUGCUUUGUGCUCCCGGUCGCGGCUUCUGUCUCUUCCCUCCCCUCUCGCCUGGCCCUGUGCUGGGGCCGUCGUCCUGCCCGUUGGGGCCGCAGGAAACGUCCUGCGUGGCCACACGCCUCGGCAACGGGCCGGGGAUGGGGUCGCGGAGCGAGGCAGUGCCUCAGCCAAGGCCGCUCCUACACCAUGA